rnacentral:rRNA from 1 species
CUUGACGGUACCUAACCAGAAAGCCACGGCUAACUACGUGCCAGCAGCCGCGGUAAUACGUAGGUGGCAAGCGUUAUCCGGAAUUAUUGGGCGUAAAGCGCGCGCAGGCGGUUUCUUAAGUCUGAUGUGAAAGCCCACGGCUCAACCGUGGAGGGUCAUUGGAAACUGGGGAACUUGAGUGCAGAAGAGAAAAGCGGAAUUCCACGUGUAGCGGUGAAAUGCGUAGAGAUGUGGAGGAACACCAGUGGCGAAGGCGGCUUUUUGGUCUGUAACUGACGCUGAGGCGCGAAAGCGUGGGGAGCAAACAGGAUUAGAUACCCUGGUAGUCC